rnacentral:tRNA from 1 species
GGCGUCGUGGCCAAGUGGUAAGGCAGAGGCCUGCAAAGCCUUCACCCCCGGUUCGAAUCCGGGCGACGCCUCCA